rnacentral:rRNA from 1 species
AUUGAACGCUGGCGGCAUGCUUUACACAUGCAAGUCGAACGGUAACAGGCCGCAAGGUGCUGACGAGUGGCGAACGGGUGAGUAAUGCAUCGGAACGUGCCCAGUCGUGGGGGAUAACGCAGCGAAAGCUGCGCUAAUACCGCAUACGAUCUAUGGAUGAAAGCGGGGGACCGUAAGGCCUCGCGCGAUUGGAGCGGCCGAUGUCAGAUUAGGUAGUUGGUGGGGUAAAGGCUCACCAAGCCAACGAUCUGUAGCUGGCCUGAGAGGACGACCAGCCACACUGGGACUGAGACACGGCCCAGACUCCUACGGGAGGCAGCAGUGGGGAAUUUUGGACAAUGGGCGCAAGCCUGAUCCAGCAAUGCCGCGUGCAGGAAGAAGGCCUUCGGGUUGUAAACUGCUUUUGUACGGAACGAAACGGUCCUGGUUAAUACCUGGGGCUAAUGACGGUACCGUAAGAAUAAGCACCGGCUAACUACGUGCCAGCAGCCGCAGUAACAC